rnacentral:rRNA from 1 species
CCUACGGGUGGCUGCAGUGGGGGAUAUUGGACAAUGGGGGGAAGCCUGAUCCAGCGACGCCGCGUGAGUGAAGAAGUAUCUCGGUAUGUAAAGCUCUGUUAGCAGGGAAGAAAGAAAUGAUGGUACCUGACCAAGAAGCCCCGGCUAACUACGUGCCAGCAGCAGCGGUAAUACGUAGGGGGCAAGCGUUAUCCGGAAUUACUGGGUGUAAAGGGAGCGUAGACGGUUAAGUAAGUCGGGAGUGAAAUGCCGGGGCCCAACCCCGGGACUGCUUUGGCAACUAUUGAACUAGAGUGCAGGAGAGGUAAGCGGAAUGCGUGGUGUAGCGGUGAAAUGCGUAGAUAUCAGGAGGAACACCAGUGGCGAAGGCGGCUUACUGGAGUGCAACUGACGCUGAGGCUCGAAAGCGUGGGUAGCAAACAGGAUUAGAUACCCUAGUAGUC